rnacentral:misc_RNA from 1 species
CCGAGUUUACAACUCCCAAACCCCUGUGAACAUACCACUUGUUGCCUCGGCGGAUCAGCCCGCUCCCGGUAAAACGGGACGGCCCGCCAGAGGACCCCUAAACUCUGCUUCUAUAUGUAACUUCUGAGUAAAACCAUAAAUAAAUCA